GUCCACGCCGUAAACGUUGGGCACUAGGUGUGGGACUCUAUCGACGGGUUCCGUGCCGUAGCUAACGCAUUAAGUGCCCCGCCUGGGGAGUACGGCCGCAAGGCUAAAACUCAAAGGAAUUGACGGGGCCCGCACAAGCGGCGGAGCGUGUGGCUUAAUUCGAUGCAACGCGAAGAACCUUACCUAGGCUUGACAUGUACGGUAAAGCGGGUGAAAGCCCGUGUCCUUCGGGCCGGUACACAGGUGGUGCAUGGCUGUCGU
rnacentral:rRNA from 1 species